GCCAACGUAGCUCAGCUGGCAGAGCAACUGAUUCGUAAUCAGUAGGUCGGCGGUUCAAAUCCGCCCGUUGGCU
rnacentral:tRNA from 1 species